GGUAAGAGGAGAGUGACU
rnacentral:snRNA from 1 species